GAUCAUGGCUCAGGAUGAACGCUAGCUACAGGCUUAACACAUGCAAGUCGAGGGGAAACGACAUCGAAAGCUUGCUUUUGGUGGGCGUCGACCGGCGCACGGGUGAGUAACGCGUAUCCAACCUGCCCACCACUUGGGGAUAACCUUGCGAAAGUAAGACUAAUACCCAAUGAUAUCUCUAGAAGACAUCUGAAAGAGAUUAAAGAUUUAUCGGUGAUGGAUGGGAAUGCGUCUGAUUAG
rnacentral:rRNA from 1 species